CCCCUAGUAACUGCGAGUGAAGCGGGAAAAGCUCAAAUUUGAAAUCUGGCAGUCUUUUUUUCCUUCUUUGGCUGUCCGAGUUGUAAUCUAGAGAAGUGCUUACCUGCGCUGGACCAUGUAUAAGUCUCCUGGAACGGAGUGUCACAGAGGGUGAGAAUCCCGUCUUUGACAUGGACUGCCAGUGUGUUGUGGUGCGCUCUCAAAGAGUCGAGUUGUUUGGGAAUGCAGCUCUAAAUGGGUGGUAAACUCCAUCUAAAGCUAAAUAUUGGCGAGAGACCGAUAGCGAACAAGUACCGUGAGGGAAAGAUGAAAAGGACUUUGGAAAGAGAGUUAAACAGUAUGUGAAAUUGUUGAAAGGGAAACGCUUGAAGUCAGUUAUGCUGGCUAGGGAUCAACCUAGCUACUUUUUGCUGGGUGAACUUCCUAGUCUGUCAGGCCAACAUCAGUUCUGACUGCUGGAAAAGAGCAGAGGGAAUGUGGCACCUUCGGGUGUGUUAUAGCCUUUUGUCAUAUGUGGCAGUUGGGACUGAGGGAUGCAGCAUGCCGUGAAGGCAAGGUUUCGACCAUGUUCAUGCUUAGGAUGUUGGCUUUUAAUGGCUUCAAUCGACCCGUCUUGAAACACGGACCAAGGAGUCUAACAUGCCUGCGAGUG
rnacentral:rRNA from 1 species